rnacentral:rRNA from 1 species
GAUGAACGCUGGCGGCGUGCCUUAACACAUGCAAGUCGAGCGAUCAUCUUCGGAAGAGAGCGGCGGACGGUGAGUAACGCGUGGGUAACCUGCCCUGUACACACGGAUAACAUACCGAAAGGUAUGCUAAUACGAGAUAAUAUGCUUUUGUCGCAUGGUAGAAGUAUCAAAAGCUCCGGCGGUACAGGAUGGACCCGCGUCUGAUUAGCUAGUUGGUAAGGUAACGGCUUACCAAGGCGACGAUCAGUAGCCGACCUGAGAGGGUGAUCGGCCACAUUGGAACUGAGACACGGUCCAAACUCCUACGGGAGGCAGCAGUGGGAAUAUUGCACAAUGGGCGAAAGCCUGAUGCAGCAACGCCGCGUGAGCGAUGAAGGCCUUCGGGUCGUAAA